CCGCGAAUGGCUCAUUAAAUCAGUUAUUGUUUAUUUGGAACUUUUCCUUACAUGGAUAACCGUGGCAAUUCUAGGGCUAAUACAUGCUUCAAGUCUCGACCUCUGGAAGAGACGUAUUUAUUAGACCAAGACCAACCUGCUCUGCAGUUUAGGUGGUGACUCUGGAUAACUUUGCCGAUCGUAUGGGUUCGUCCCACGACAUACCAUUCAAAUUUCUGCCUCAUCAACUGUCGAUGGUAAGUUACAUGCUUACCAUGGUUGUAACGGGUAACGGGGAAUUAGGGUUCGAUUCCGGAGAGGGAGCCUGAGAAACGGCUACCACAUCCAAGGAAGGCAGCAGGCGCGCAAAUUACCCACUCCCGGCUCGGGGAGGUAGUGACGAUAAAUAACGAUACGUGCUAUUUCGAUAGCCACGUAAUUGAAAUGAAAGCACCUUAAAUCCGUCAUUGAGGAUCAAUUGGAGGGCAAGUCUGGUGCCAGCAGCCGCGGUAAUUCCAGCUCCAAUAGCGUAUAUUAAAGUUGUUGCAGUUAAAAAGCUCGUAGUUGGAUCUCGGCGCCAGGGUUGUGAUUCCCCAUGCUGGGUGAUAUCAACCAUCCUGGCGUGUUUCUUUCACUCGACGACUGCGUCCUCUUCAUUGAGCGGGCUUUCGGAGGGUGUACAUUUUACUUUGAAGAAAUUAGAGUGUUCAAAGCAGGUUUACGCCGUGAAUAAUUGUGCAUGGAAUAAUAGAAUACGAUCUCGGUCUUAGUUCUGUUGGUCUUGGAGAUUGGGAUAAUGAUUAAGAGGGAUGGCCGGAGGCGUUCGUAUUGCACCGUGAGAGGUGAAAUUCUUGGAUCGGCGCAAGACGCACUACAGCGAAAGCAUUCGCCAAGAAUGUUUUCAUUAAUCAAGAACGAAAGUUGGAGGCUCGAAGACGAUCAGAUACCGUCGUAGUUCCAACUGUAAACGAUGCCAACUAGCGAUCAGGGAGCGUUAUUUGUUGACUUCCCUGGCAGCUUCCGGGAAACCAAAGUUUUUGGGUUCCGGGGGAAGUAUGGUUGCAAAGCUGAAACUUAAAGGAAUUGACGGAAGGGCACCACCAGGAGUGGAGCCUGCGGCUUAAUUUGACUCAACACGGGAAAACUCACCCGGCCCGGACACUGGUAGGAUUGACAGAUUGAGGGCUCUUUCUUGAUUCAGUGGGUGGUGGUGCAUGGCCGUUCUUAGUUGGUGGAGCGAUUUGUCUGGUUAAUUCCGAUAACGAACGAGACUCUGGCUUGCUAACUAGUUCGCCGAUUUUACGCCUUCGGGCUUCGUCGGUGCAACUUCUUAGAGGGACUAAUGGCGCACAGCCAUACGAGAUUGAGCAAUAACAGGUCUGUGAUGCCCUUAGAUGUUCGGGGCCGCACGCGCGCUACAAUGAGGCGGGCAACAAGCAUUGACCUUCUCCGAAAGGAGCGGGAAAUCUUUUGAAACCGUCUCGUGCUAGGGAUAGGGAAUUGUAAUUAUCUCCCUUGAACGAGGAAUUCCUAGUAAGCGCAAGUCAUAAGCUUGCGUUGAUUACGUCCCUGCCCUUUGUACACACCGCCCGUCGCUACUACCGAUUGAACGAUUUAGUGAGACAUUCGGACCGCGCCACAUCGUCCCGCAAGGGUCUAAGUGGCUGCGAGAAGAAGUUCAAA
rnacentral:rRNA from 1 species